UGGGGAAUAUUGGACAAUGGGCGAAAGCCUGAUCCAGCCAUGCCGCGUGUGUGAAGAAGGUCUUCGGAUUGUAAAGCACUUUAAGUUGGGAGGAAGGGCAGUAAGCGAAUACCUUGCUGUUUUGACGUUACCGACAGAAUAAGCACCGGCUAACUCUGUGCCAGCAGCCGCGGUAAUACAGAGGGUGCAAGCGUUAAUCGGAAUUACUGGGCGUAAAGCGCGCGUAGGUGGUUCGUUAAGUUGAAUGUGAAAGCCCCGGGCUCAACCUGGGAAAUGCAUCCAAAACUGGCGAGCUAGAGUAGGGCAGAGGGUGGUGGAAUUUCCUGUGUAGCGGUGAAAUGCGUAGAUAUAGGAAGGAACACAAGUGGCGAAGGCGACCACCUGGGCUCAUACUGACACUGAGGUGCGAAAGCGUGGGGAGCAAACAGG
rnacentral:rRNA from 1 species